GGGCGCAUAGCUCAGUGGGAGAGCACCUGCCUUACAAGCAGGGGGUCGCAGGUUCGAACCCUGCUGCGCCCACCA
rnacentral:tRNA from 2 species